GAUGAACGCUGGCGGCGUGCCUAAUACAUGCAAGUCGAGCGAACGGACGAGAAGCUUGCUUCUCUGAUGUUAGCGGCGGACGGGUGAGUAACACGUGGAUAACCUACCUAUAAGACUGGGAUCACUUCGGGAAACCGGAGCUAAUACCGGAUAAUAUUUUGAACCGCAUGGUUCAAAAGUGAAAGACGGUCUUGCUGUCACUUAUAGAUGGAUACGCGCUGCAUUAGCUAGUUGGUAAGGUAACGGCUUACCAAGGCAACGAUGCAUAGCCGACCUGAGAGGGUGAUCGGCCACACUGGAACUGAGACACGGUCCAGACUCCUACGGGAGGCAGCAGUAGGGAAUCUUCCGCAGUGGGCGAAAGCCUGACGGAGCAACGCCGCGUGAGUGAUGAAGGUCUUCGGAUCGUAAAACUCUGUUAUUAGGGAAGAACAUAUGUGUAAGUAACUGUGCACAUCUUGACGGUACCUAAUCAGAAAGCCACGGCUAACUACGUG
rnacentral:rRNA from 1 species